rnacentral:lncRNA from 1 species
CACCACCAUAACAUCAAUUCAGUAUCAUACAGUUUAUACUGUAUUUAAAACGUUGAAAAACAAUCUCAAAGCAAGUCAAUCAAUUUCAAACAAUUCCAACGGCUUUCAGGAAAAUUUUAAAACAACAUUCAUUAGCAAAGUGUAAACAUCAUUUUCAAUUUUGAACAGUGAUACUGUAUUUUGAAGACAACCCCAAAACAAGUUAAUCAAUUUCAAGCAAUGCCAAAUUAAUUUCAAGAAAAAUUUCAACACCAGGGCCGUAGCUAGACCGAUAAUUGGGGUGUGUAUAUUCAUAUAUUUGUGUUCUGCCCGACGGAUUUCUUUUGAAAGUGAUUGUUUUGACAGUAUAUGAACAUGAAUAUAUGACAUACACUCCACAAUUAUCGUGUCUAGUUAUGGCCCUGUUCAACACAACAUAUCACCCAAAAUCCCAAAUUAUUUUCAAUUUAUCUUGCCUAGUGGGGCAGCAUAUUGUCAUGCAUACUCAUAUGAUCUUCAAGUUCGGUGGCAAUUUUAAACUCGGCAUCGCAGACACAACAGAUAUAACCAAUGCCAGUUGCUUCUCUUGCUUCUAAUUCCUUACAAACAUCACAUUGGUGGGAUGAAUGAUGGUCUUUGGCCUUGUGCUGAUAUAAACUUUCAAUAUCAGGGAACUGUUUGUCGCAUUUGUUGCAGACAGAAUGAUCGCCACUCAGUGUCUCACCAGCAUGUCCUUGUCGUUGUGAUUGACUAAUUUCCCUGCCACAACUGUUGCAGAAUAAUAAGCCAUCUCUCGAAUGUACUCUCCAGUGACGUUUGAGACUCUUACGUAGUGUGAAUGUUUUCUUACAUUUAGCACACUCAAGACUCGGCUUUCUCUUGUGUGCUGAUAUUUUAUGUCGUGUUAAUUUGUGAGAUUCUGAAAAUCUCUUAUUGCAAACAUAACAUUCAUAAGGUUUGUCUCCAGCAUGUGUUCUUUUAUGCUUGGUUAAGUUGGCCGAGCAUGAAAAUCUCUUCUUACAAACAUCACAUUCAUAAGGUUUGUCUCCAGUGUGUGUUCUUUCGUGUGUAACUAAGGUGCUUAAGUGUGAAAAUCUUUUGUUGCAAAUAUCACAUUCAUAAGGUUUGUCUCCAGUGUGCGUUCUUUCAUGUGUAACUAAGGUGUUUGAGUGUGAAAAUCUUUUGUUGCAAACAUCACAUUCAUAAGGUUUGUCUCCAGUGUGUGUUCUUUUAUGGGUAGCUAAGGUGCCAGACUGCAAAAAUCUUUUGUUGCAAACAUCACAUUCAUAAGGUUUCUCUCCAGUGUGUGUUCUCUUAUGAACCGCUAAGUUGCUUGACUGCAAAAAUCUCUUGUUGCAAACAUCACAUUCAUAAG